AGUGAACGCUGGCGGUAGGCCUAACACAUGCAAGUCGAACGGCAGCACAGUAAGAGCUUGCUCUUACGGGUGGCGAGUGGCGGACGGGUGAGGAAUACAUCGGAAUCUACUUUUUCGUGGGGGAUAACGUAGGGAAACUUACGCUAAUACCGCAUACGACCUACGGGUGAAAGCAGGGGAUCUUCGGACCUUGCGCAAUUGAAUGAGCCGAUGUCGGAUUAGCUAGUUGGCGGGGUAAAGGCCCACCAAGGCGACGAUCCGUAGCUGGUCUGAGAGGAUGAUCAGCCACACUGGAACUGAGACACGGUCCAGACUCCUACGGGAGGCAGCAGUGGGGAAUAUUGGACAAUGGGCGCAAGCCUGAUCCAGCCAUACCGCGUGGGUGAAGAAGGCCUUCGGGUUGUAAAGCCCUUUUGUUGGGAAAGAAAAGCAGCAGGUGAAUACCCCGCUGUUCUGACGGUACCCAAAGAAUAAGCACCGGCUAACUUCGUG
rnacentral:rRNA from 1 species